GGGAAUUCGAUUCCUACGGGAGGCAGCAGUGGGGAAUCUUGCGCAAUGGGCGAAAGCCUGACGCAGCAACGCCGCGUGGGGGAUGAAGGCCCUCGGGUUGUAAACCCCUUUCAGCAGGGACGAAUUUGACGGUACCUGCAGAAGAAGCCCCGGCCAACUACGUGCCAGCAGCCGCGGUAAUACGUAGGGGGCAAGCGUUGUCCGGAUUCAUUGGGCGUAAAGAGCUCGUAGGCGGCUUGGCAAGUCGGGUGUGAAACCUCCAGGCUUAACCUGGAGACGCCACUCGAUACUGCCAUGGCUAGAGUCCGGUAGGGGACCACGGAAUUCCUGGUGUAGCGGUGAAAUGCGCAGAUAUCAGGAGGAACACCGGUGGCGAAGGCGGUGGUCUGGGCCGGCACUGACGCUGAGGAGCGAAAGCGUGGGUAGCAAACAGGAUUAGAUACCCUGGUAGUCCACGCCGUAAACGUUGGGCACUAGGUGUGGGGCCUUAUCAACGGGUUCCGUGCCGUAGCUAACGCAUUAAGUGCCCCGCCUGGGGAGUACGGCCGCAAGGCUAAAACUCAAAUGAAUUGACGGA
rnacentral:rRNA from 1 species